ensembl:misc_RNA 7SK 7SK RNA
AGACAGCAGGUGAUCGGGCUAUGGCAUCUGCCACUCCACUGACUUCUGGGGUCGAUUCUGAUCAUUUGGCUGAUUAAGCAGUGUCCCCUCCCCUCUCACAGCUCCAUGGGCAUCACUCCCGAAUAGAGGAGGGCCAGGCUUCGGUCAAGGGUAUAAGAACGAUCCCCUGCUAGAAUCUCCAAACAAGCUCUCAAGGUCACUGGUUUUUCUAAGCUGUUUCCCAAUUUCAGAUCCCAGGAUGGUAGCUGGGCAUCU